UUGCCAGCCCGCUCAGAAACUACAAAUGAAUUGACGGGGGCCCGCACAAGCAGCGGAGCGUGUGGUUUAAUUCGAUGAUACGCGAAGAACCUCACCCAGGUUUGACAUGCAUGUGGUACCAAGGUGAAAGCUGAGGGACCCUUCGGGGAGCAUGCACAGGUGUUGCACGGCCGUCGUCAGCUCGUGCCGUGAGGUGUUGGGUUAAGUCCCGCAACGAGCGCAACCCCUGUCGCCAGUUGUAUUUUUCUGGCGAGACUGCCGAGAAAACCUCGGAGGAAGGAGGGGACGAUGUCAGGUCAGCGUGGCCCUUACGCCUGGGGCUACACACACGCUACAAUGGGCAGUACAACGGGUCGCGAAGCCGCGAGGUGGAGCUAAUCCCAUCAAAGCUGUCCUCAGUUCGGAUUGCAGGCUGAAACCCGCCUGCAUGAAGCCGGAGUUGCUAGUAACCGCAGGUCAGCAUUACUGCGGUGAAUACGUUCCCGGGCCUU
rnacentral:rRNA from 1 species